rnacentral:rRNA from 1 species
CUGGCUCAGAACGAACGCUGGCGGCAGGUCUUAGGCAUGCAAGUCGAACGGAUGACAGAGAGCUUGCUCUCUGAAGUCAGUGGCGCACGAGUGAGUAACGCGUGGGAAACUGCCCUUCACUGGGGAAUAACGUUUGGAAACGAACGCUAAUACCGCAUACGCCCGCAAGGGGAAAGAUUUUUAUCGGUGAUGGAUGUGCCCGCGUUGGAUUAGCUUGUUGGUGGGGUAAUGGCCUACCAAGGCGAUGAUCCAUAGCUGGUCUGAGAGGACGAUCAGCCACGCUGGAACUGAGACACGGUCCAGACUCCUACGGGAGGCAGCAGCUAAGAAUAUUGGGCAAUGGGGGAAACCCCGACCCAGCCCAUGCCGCGUGAAUGAAGAAGGCCUUCGGGUUGUAAAGUUCUUUUAGUCAUGAAGAUGAUGACAGUAGUGACAGAAAAAGCACCGGCUAACUUCGUGCCAGCCGCCGC